GGCAGCUAUAGGGGCUAGGGAGGAGUGGCUAUAGGGGCUAGGGAGGAGUGGCUAUAGCUGCUAGGGAGGAACUGCUAUAGCGGCUAGGGAGGAGCUGCUAUAGGGGCUAGGGAGGAGUGGCUAGGGAGGAGCUGCUAUAGCGGCUAGGGAGGAGCGGCUAUAGGGGCUAGGGAGGAGCGGCUAUAGGGGCUAGGGAGGAGCGGCUAUAGGGGCUAGGGAGGAGCUGCUAUAGGGGCUAGGGAGGAGCGGCUAUAGGGGCUAGGGAGGAGCGGCUAUAGCGGCUAGGGAGGAGCGGCUAUAGCGGCUAGGGAGGAGCUGCUAUAGCGGCUAGGGAGGAGCGGCUAUAGCGGCUAGGGAGGAGCGGCUAUAGCGGCUAGGCUAUAGCGGCUAGGGAGGAGCGGCUAUAGCGGCUAGGGAGGAGCGGCUAUAGCGGCUAGGGAGGAGUGGCUAGGGAGGAGCUGCUAUAGGGGCUAGGGAGGAGCGGCUAUAGCGGCUAGGGAGGAGCUGCUACAGGGGCUAGGGAGGAGCGGCUAUAGGGGCUAGGGAGGAGCGGCUAUAGCGGCUAGGGAGGAGCUGCUAUAGGGACUAGGGAGGAGCUGCUAUAGGGGCUAGGGAGGAGUGGCUAGGGAGGAGCUGCUAUAGGGGCUAGGGAGGAGUGGCUAUAGCGGCUAGGGAGGAGCUGCUAUAGGGGCUAGGGAGGAGUGGCUAGGGAGGAGCUGCUAUAGGGGCUAGGGAGGAGUGGCUAGGGAGGAGCUGCUAUAGGGGCAAGGGAGGAGCGGCUAGGGAGGAGCUGCUAUAGGGGCUAGGGAGGAGCUGCUAUAGGGACUAGGGAGGAGUGGCUAGGGAGGAGCUGCUAUAGGGGCAAGGUAGGGGCGGCUAUAGGGGCUAGGGAGGAGUGGCUAUAGGGGCGGCUAGGGAGGAGUGGCUAUAGGGCCAUUGGAGGAGUGGCUAGGGAAUUUGGAGUCGGCCUAUUCAAGCUAGGGUUGAUCUUUAUUGAUUGAUAGGUCUUUUCAUUAAUCUGUUCUCUGGUCUAUCAUAACCUGCUUUAUAAUGUAAUACACACAAAUAACACCCUUGAGGAGAGGUGUACUGCUGACUAGCAGAACAAAGUUAAAGUCACAUUCUUCUCCAUUUUGGUGGCAAUAAAGUUCACUGCGGUAAAGAUUGAGAGAAGUUUUGGGAGCAUAGAAAUAUAAUGAAUUGAACAGACUUGGAAGCUCUAACCCUGGUAAUUUGGCUGGUAAACUCAUGGAUACACUUGCAAUGGCUGCCUGGUAUUGUAACGCAAUAAUUUUCAAAGUAAUGUAGAAUGUUCAUUUAAAUUGUUAACUAUGUGGCUCAUGCAAUGGAAUGUAUUUUUUUGUAAUGUCAGUUGAGUUUAAACAAAUCACAGCACAUAUUGAUGUUUACACUUCCUGCUUUUACUUCAUGCUUUGCACAUAUGGGUAAACUUGCAAUGGCCACUAGUCCAUCCAUUUUGCCAUCAUUGACUUGAAUGGUGACAUCUGUUCUAUUCAUUCUAUUUCUAUGAUUAGGACUCCGUAGAUCAGACAGAACACUGUUUCCUACUGGAGAUCUGAGAGCAGAAUAAAGUCUGCUCCUCUGGAACCUUUGUGUUCUAGAACCAGUGUUCUAUCAGUCCCAGAGUUCUGUCCGUCAGUGUUCUAGAUCUGUUUUAUAUUCAUAUGGUGGAACAAUAACAAUCAUGUUUCUGUAUUCUGUUUUAUGGUAUGUCAUGAAUCUGUACAUAUUGAUGGACUUGAAUUGUUUGGGAUUUUCUGUCUGAAGAUAAUUCACUGAUAGAGAUACUCUCUCUGAGAAUAAAGUAUUUCUAUAUUUCACUGUA